rnacentral:rRNA from 1 species
GAAAAGUCUUCGGCGGGCAGUUGUCCUGUUUGGGAACGGUGCACUUGCGUACAGAGUGCGCCGAAUCGGUCGGACUUGGCGUUCAAAGUGCGGUCAAGAGGACCAGUUUGCAAGAACUGGAAACCUAGGCCGAACGGGCGACGCAUGAGUCUGGCUGCGUUGCAUAAGGCUGGCUGAAUUUGAAGCGAUCGGAGGAGUUUGGGCAUUGUUGGGAUGUGACGCAUGCGUCUUAUUCCGCAAUUCGUCUCUUCGCUGGGCGUUUCUCGGCCGGUAUUCGGUGUCUAGUCGGUCACCCAUCCGACCCGUCUUGAAACACGGACCAAGGAGUUUAAGGUUUGCGCGAGUCAUUGGGUGCAAAACUCAAAGGCGAAAUGAAAGUGGGACACUUGGUGUCUGUGACGCGAUCCGUGCAUGAUUCGUUGUGUGCGGAGCAGCAUCGACCCAUGACCAGAACUUGUUCUGUUGUGGAGUCUGAGCGCAAGCUUUGAGACCCGAAAGAUGGUGAACUAUGCCUGAACAGGACGAAGUCAGAGGAAACUCUGAUGGAAG